GUGGAUAUGAUUUAACGUGGUGAAGGGGUAUCUCCCUGGCCGCGGUGCCCUCUUCCUUCUCCGAUGGACCGUGGUGGCGGCGCUCUGCCCCUUACGACGGAUGCCAUGGCCGGUGCACGCAUCCCGACAUUUCGGCCACCGAACCCUACGUGGACCAGCGCUACACGAUGCAGGACAUGAUACGAAUCUAAUUGUAGUGUUUUACUGGUGAGUUAUGACCCGCAGGUUCCCAUCCACGGCGUGGAGCGUCAUGAGAACGAAGCGAUCACACGAGGCCCCAUCGCCCUGGGUAAGCGUUCCAUGGGUGCAGACCUCUCUCCAUGCCCAUCCACAGCUCUUCGGUUGGUGCAGGGACGGGAACGAUGAUGGCGGCUCAGCGUCCCUCUCCACAUGACGAUGUUGGCGUCGAGCUCCUCCCGUUGCCGCUCGACGAUGCUUCCUUAGUUCGAUGGGCGAGGCGGCGCAUGGGAUUUAUACAGGGGCACACGCCAAACCCUAAUAACCCGAGUGGAUCCUA
rnacentral:lncRNA from 1 species